rnacentral:sRNA from 1 species
UAGAGGAAGUACAGAGUUAUAAUCUCCUU